rnacentral:lncRNA from 1 species
AACAGUAGCGGAUCAAUUCCUCCCUAUGGUGGAUCAGGCAACUCCACCCCUCCCUAUGGUUCUUCUCCGAGCAACAACAGCGGAUCCAUGCCUCCAUACGGUGGAUCAAGCAACUCCACCACCUCGGUUCCUCCGUAUGGAUCUCCUCCGAGCAACAACAGCGGAUCCAUGCCUCCAUACGGUGGAUCAAGCAACUCCACCACCUCGGUUCCUCCGUAUGGAUCUCCUCCGAGCAACAACAGUGGAUCCUUUGGUGGAUCUUCCAGCAACUUUAACAACAGUAGCAGCUCAAUCCCUCCCUUCGGUUCUUCCAACAGCAUGAACA